AAUAUUACCAAUCACAUAUUGAGUCAGUAUACACCAUUUAAGGUCAUUUAAGGUCAUCUAAAGCCCAAUAUGGUUAAUGAGAACCAGCAGUCAAGGGUAACUAUUGAGUUUUAAGAAAAAAUGGUAAAAUAUCGUCGCUUGUCCCAGGAAGAGCGCCUCCGUGCUGUUUUCAUGGCA